rnacentral:lncRNA from 1 species
CCGAAACCAGUUGACCCAUUCGAACCAGUCUUGAACCAUAACCGAAACGAGUUGAACCGUAAUCGAAUCGGGGCUGACUUGUUGACCCGACUUGACUAGUUUGACCGCCGUUGACUUCGUUGACCGUCUGUUGACCCGAGUUGACACGGGUGUUGACCGAGUCGAAACAAAAUCCAAACCAACUCUGUUGAGGUGUUGAACUCGAACCAGAAACCGUGCUGAUGAUGCACCAAACCGAACCCAUCGAACCGUAAUAACCACCAUGACUCCUUUGAUCGGAGCCGCCUGAUCCGUCACUAAACGCCGCCGCCGCCGCUGAAUCGCGGCUGUAGCCGCCCUGCACCACCGCGGAGGGGUGGCGGCUCCUCCUUCGCGCCUCCAUCUUCUAUCACAGCCAUCAUCAUCAUC